AUACGGAGGGUGCAAGCGUUACUCGGAAUCACUGGGCGUAAAGCGCGCGCAGGCGGGCUGAUAAGUUGGAUGUGAAAGCCUACGGCUCAACCGUAGAACUGCAUCCAAAACUGUCAGUCUAGAGUGUGGGAGAGGAAGAUGGAAUUAGUUGUGUAGGGGUAAAAUCCGUAGAGAUAACUAGGAAUACCAAAAGCGAAGGCAAUCUUCUGGAACACUACUGACGUUGAGGCGCGAAGGCGUGGGGAGCAAACAGGAUUAGAAACCCCAGUAGUCC
rnacentral:rRNA from 1 species